UUCGGAUCGUAAAACUCUGUUAUUAGGGAAGAACAUAUGUGUAAGUAACUGUGCACAUCUUGACGGUACCUAAUCAGAAAGCCACGGCUAACUACGUGCCAGCAGCCGCGGUAAUACGUAGGUGGCAAGCGUUAUCCGGAAUUAUUGGGCGUAAAGCGCGCGUAGGCGGUUUUUUAAGUCUGAUGUGAAAGCCCACGGCUCAACCGUGGAGG
rnacentral:rRNA from 1 species